rnacentral:rRNA from 1 species
CGGCGUGCCUAACACAUGCAAGUCGUACGAGAAAGCCGGCUUCGGCUGGUGAGUAAAGUGGCGCACGGGUGAGUAACGCGUGGAUAAUCUGCCCUUAAGUGUGGAAUAACGUACCGAAAGGUGCGCUAAUACCGCAUAAUGCCUGGCAACACAAGUUGUCCGGCCAAAGAAGGCCUCUGUUUACAAGCUUUCGCUUCAGGAUGAGUCCGCGUACCAUUAGCUUGUUGGUGGGGUAAUGGCCUACCAAGGCUGCGAUGGUUAGCUGGUCUGAGAGGAUGAUCAGCCACACUGGAACUGAGACACGGUCCAGACUCCUACGGGAGGCAGCAGUGAGGAAUAUUGCGCAAUGGGGGCAACCCUGACGCAGCAACGCCGCGUGAGUGAGGAAGGUUUUCGGACUGUAAAGCUCUGCCGAGCGGGAAGAAGUGUACCAUGGCUAAUAUCCAUGAUAUUUGACGGUACCGCUAGAGGAAGCACCGGCUAACUCCGUG